GAUGAACGCUGGCGGCGUGCCUAAUACAUGCAAGUCGAGCGAACGGACGAGAAGCUUGCUUCUCUGAUGUUAGCGGCGGACGGGUGAGUAACGCGUGGAUAACCUACCUAUAAGACUGGGAUAACUUCGGGAAACCGGAGCUAAUACCGGAUAAUAUUGUGAGCCGCAUGGUUCAAAAGUGAAAGACGGUCUUGCUGUCACUUAUAGAUGGAUCCGCGCUGCAUUAGCUAGUUGGUAAGGUAACGGCUUACCAAGGCAACGAUGCAUAGCCGACCUGAGAGGGUGAUCGGCCACACUGGAACUGAGACACGGUCCAGACUCCUACGGGAGGCAGCAGUAGGGAAUCUUCCGCAAUGGGCGAAAGCCUGACGGAGCAACGCCGCGUGAGUGAUGAAGGUCUUCGGAUCGUAAAACUCUGUUAUUAGGGAAGAACAUAUGUGUAAGUAACUGUGCACAUCUUGACGGUACCUAAUCAGAAAGCCACGGCUAACUACGUG
rnacentral:rRNA from 1 species